rnacentral:rRNA from 1 species
UUCCGGUUGAUCCUGCCGGACCCCACUGCUAUCGAGGUGGGACUAAUCCAUGCUAGUCGAACGACCCCGGACUAUGGCGGGGAAGUGGCAUACUGCUCAGUAACACGUAGCUAACCUAACCUCGGGACGGGCACAACCCCGGGAAACUGGGGCUAAUACCCGAUAAGCGUGGAAUCCUGGAAUGGAUCCACGCCCAAAGGUCAGCGCGCCCAUGUCGUGCGCGCACGCCCGAGGAUGGGGCUGCGGCCGAUCAGGCUGUUGGUGAGGUAAAGGCUCACCAAACCUUUGACCGGUACGGGCCAUGAGAGUGGUAGCCCGGAGAUGGGCACUGAGACAAGGGCCCAGGCCCUACGGGGCGCAGCAGGGGCGAAACCUCCACAAUUCACGAAAGUGAGAUGGGGUUACCUCGAGUGCCAUCUGAAGAAGGUGGCUUUUCCAUGGUGUAAUGAGCCGUGGGAAUAAGGGGGGGCAAGACUGGUGUCAGCCGCCGCGGUAACACCAGCCCCCCGAGUGGUGGGGAUGUUUAUUUGGCCUAAAGCGUCCGUAGCCGGCCCGGUAAAUCUCUCGUUAAAUCCAGCGUCCUAAGCGUUGGGCUGCGAGUGAAACUGCCAGGCUAGAGGGUGGGAGAGGUCAGCGAUAUUUCUGGGGUACGUGCGAAAUCCAUUGAUCCCAGGAGGACCACCAGUGGCGAAGGCUGCUGACUAGAACACGCGUGACGGUCAAGGACGAAAGCUGGAGGUAUCGCAUCGGAUUACAUAUCCGAGUAGUCCCAGCCGUAAACGAUGCAGGCUAGGUGUUGCGCGGCCACGUGCCAGCUCAGUGCCACAGGGAAGCCAUUAUUCCUGCCGCCUGGCGGAGUACCGUCGCAAGGCUGAAGACUUAAACGCAAUCUGGCAGGGAGAGCAGCGAUCAGGCGUGAUGCCUGCG